GCCCCGGUAGCUUAGUGGAGGAGCACACGGCUGUUAACCGUGAGGUCGCCAGUUCGAACCUGGCCCGGGGCG
rnacentral:tRNA from 1 species